AUGCGGCAGAGGAGGCAUCACGAUCAGGAAGACCAUUGUUCUAGGAUGAGGCUAAUCUCUCACACUCCGGGUGUGCUGACAUUGCAAUUUUCCCAAACAUGAGAAAUCUGGCUGCAUAAUAUGUAGUAGUGGAGGACUAUACUUGUAUUCCUCCU
rnacentral:snRNA from 9 species